UGGGGAAUAUUGCACAAUGGGCGCAAGCCUGAUGCAGCCAUGACGCGUGUAUGAAGAAGGCCUUCGGGUUGUAAAGUACUUUCAGCGGGGAGGCAGGCGAUAAGGUUAAUAACCUUGUCGAUUGACGUUACCCGCAGAAGAAGCACCGGCUAACUCCGUGCCAGCAGCCGCGGUAAUACGGAGGGUGCAAGCGUUAAUCGGAAUUACUGGGCGUAAAGCGCACGCAGGCGGUCUGUCAAGUCGGAUGUGAAAUCCCCGGGCUCAACCUGGGAACUGCAUUCGAAACUGGCAGGCUAGAGUCUUGUAGAGGGGGGUAGAAUUCCAGGUGUAGCGGUGAAAUGCGUAGAGAUCUGGAGGAAUACCGGUGGCGAAGGCGGCCCCCUGGACAAAGACUGACGCUCAGGUGCGAAAGCGUGGGGAGCAAACA
rnacentral:rRNA from 1 species